UACGUAGGGCGCAAGCGUUUGUCCGGAAUUAUUGGGCGUAAAGAGCUCGUAGGUGGUUUGUCGCGUUGUCCGUGAAAACUCACAGCUCAACUGUGGGCGUGCGGGCGAUACGGGCAGACUGGAGUACUGCAGGGGAGACUGGAAUUCCUGGUGUAGCGGUGGAAUGCGCAGGAUAUCAGGAGGAACACCGGUGGCGAAGGCGGGUCUCUGGGCAGUAACUGACGCUGAGGAGCGAAAGCGUGGGGAGCGAACAGG
rnacentral:rRNA from 1 species